rnacentral:lncRNA from 1 species
CUUGCUGCAUGUUAACAUUUUGCCAUAUUUGCUUUAUACUUUUGAAAUAAUUAACAAAAUAUUUACAGAGAGGUAUGGCCCCCUAGGUCCCACUCUCUGGAUUCCAUCUUCUCUUUUCUUCCCUAGAGGUAACUAGUAUCCCGAAUUUACAGGUUAUCACUCCACCUGCAUGUUUUACUGCUGGAGUGCAAUGCUGUGAUGUUGGCUCGCUGUGACCUCUGCCUCGCGAGUUCAAGUGAUUCUCCUGCCUCAGCCUCCCGAGUAGCUGAGUCUGUGUCUGGAAUUCGUGGGUUCUCGGUCUGGCUGACUUCGAGAAUAAAGACGCAGACCCUCGCGG